CCUACGGGUGACAGCAGUGGGGAAUAUUGCACAAUGGAGGGAACUCUGAUGCAGCGACGCCGCGUGAGUGAAGAAGUUAUUCGGUUUGUAAAGUCCUAUCAGCAGGGAAGAAAGUGACGGUAUCUGACAAAUAAGCAUCGGCUAAAUACGUGCCAGCAGCCGCGGUAAUACGUAGGGUGCAAGCGUUACUCGGAUUUACUGGGUGUAAAGGGAGCGUAGGCGGGAGAGCAAGUCAGAUGUGAAAACCCAAAGCUCAACUAUGGGACUGCAUUAGAAACUGCUCAGCUAGAGUGCAGGAGAGGCAAGUGGAAUUCUUGGUGUAGCGGUGAAAUGCGUAGAGAUUAGGAGGAACACCAGUGGCGAAGGCGACUUGCUGGACUGUAACUGACGCUGAGGCUCGAAAGCGUGGGGAGCAAACAGGAUUAGAUACCCUAGUAGUC
rnacentral:rRNA from 1 species